rnacentral:rRNA from 1 species
CAGCAGCCGCGGGAAUACGGAGGGGGCUAGCGUUGUUCGGAAUUACUGGGCGUAAAGCGCACGUAGGCGGCUUUGUAAGUCAGAGGUGAAAGCCCGGGGCUCAACCCCGGAAUUGCCUUUGAGACUGCAUCGCUUGAAUCCAGGAGAGGUGAGUGGAAUUCCGAGUGUAGAGGUGAAAUUCGUAGAUAUUCGGAAGAACACCAGUGGCGAAGGCGGCUCACUGGACUGGUAUUGACGCUGAGGUGCGAAAGCGUGGGGAGCAAACAGGAUUAGAUACCCCAGUAGUCCCUGUCUCUUAUAA